CCUACGGGGUGCAGCAGUGAGGAAUAUUGGUCAAUGGCCGCAGGGCUGAACCAGCCAAGUCGCGUGAGGGAUGACGGUCCUAUGGAUUGUAAACCUCUUUUGUCAGGGAGCAAAGGGCGCCACGUGUGGCGCUUUGCGAGUACCUGAAGAAAAAGCAUCGGCUAACUCCGUGCCAGCAGCCGCGGUAAUACGGAGGAUGCGAGCGUUAUCCGGAUUUAUUGGGUUAAAAGGGGGCGCAGGCGGAAUGUCAAGUCAGCGGUAAAAUUUCGGGGCUCAACCCCGUCGUGCCGUUGAAACUGGCGUUCUUGAGUGAGCGAGAAGUAUGCGGAAUGCGUGGUGUAGCGGUGAAAUGCAUAGAUAUCACGCAGAACUCCGAUUGCGAAGGCAGCAUACCGGCGCUCAACUGACGCUCAUGCACGAAAGCGUGGGUAUCGAACAGGAUUAGAUACCCGUGUAGUC
rnacentral:rRNA from 1 species